rnacentral:rRNA from 1 species
UAUAUUUAGAGUUUGAUCCUGGCUCAGGACGAACGCUGGCGGUGCGCCUAAUGCAUGCAAGUCGAACGAGCGACCCGGGCUUGCCCGGUUAGCUAGUGGCGGACGGCUGAGUAACACGUAAGUAAUCUGCCCCGAAGAGGGGGAUAAUCCAGAGAAAUCUGGCCUAAUACCCCGUACCUUCCUCUCCAGCCUGCUGGAUUGGAAGAAAGGUCUAGGCCGCUUUGGGAGGAGCUUGCGGCUUAUCAGGUAGUUGGUGGGGUAAUGGCCUACCAAGCCGAAGACGAGUAACCGGUGUGAGAGCACGAUCGGUCAGAGGGGGACUGAGACACGGCCCCCACUCCUACGGGAGGCAGCAGCAGGGAAUCUUGCGCAAUGGGCGAAAGCCUGACGCAGCGACACCGCGUGGAGGAUGAAGGUCUUAGGAUUGUAAACUCCUUUUAUCA